UACGUAGGGUGCGAGCGUUGUCCGGAAUUAUUGGGCGUAAAGAGCUCGUAGGCGGUGUGUCACGUCGGCCGUGAAAACCUGGGGCUUAACUCUGGGCGUGCGGUCGAUACGGGCAUCACUAGAGAUCGGCAGGGGAGACUGGAAUUCCUGGUGUAGCGGUGAAAUGCGCAGAUAUCAGGAGGAACACCGGUGGCGAAGGCGGGACUCUGGGCCGAUACUGACGCUGAGGAGCGAAAGCGUGGGGAGCAAACAGG
rnacentral:rRNA from 1 species